rnacentral:rRNA from 1 species
CAUAGCGACUAUCGUGGCAUAUCAAUAAGCGGAGGAAAAGAAACUAACAAGGAUUCCCCUAGUAACGGCGAGUGAAGCGGGAAGAGCUCAAAUUUGAAAUCUUCAAGGGUUUCCCUUGACGAGCUGUAGUUUAAAGAAGUGUUUUCUGUUAGAGAGGUGGUAAAAGUUCUUUGGAAUAGGACAUCAUAGAGGGUGAGAAUCCCGUAUUUGAUCACUUUCUACUAACGUUGUGAUACACUUUCAAAGAGUCGGAUUGUUUGGGAAUGCAGUCCAAAAUGGGUGGUAAAUUUCAUCUAAAGCUAAAUAUUGGCGAGAGACCGAUAGCGAACAAGUACCGUGAGGGAAAGAUGAAAAGAACUUUGAAAAGAGAGUUAAACAGUACGUGAAAUUGUCAAAAGGGAAGCGUUUGACACCAGUGUUGUUUUUCCGAAAAUCAAUUAAAAAUUGAUUCAUGCCAGGUUGUAUUGACCUUAUCAGCUUGCAAUUUGGUUUUGGGUCUCUUUUUGAUGCACUUUUCGGUUAACAAGUCAACAUCAAUUUCCUUUGCUGUAAAAAGGUAAGAGGAAGGUGGCUUCAAUUUCGGUUGAAGUGUUUAUAGCCUUUUAUCUCUGCAGUCGGGGAGAUUGAGGUCUGCAGCGUAGAUCCUUCGGGGCUAGAUACAUUUAUGCUAAGUUAUAGCUUUUCAUAGACAACUUGUUGACUAUGUUUAGUCAUGUAGCUUACUCGCUAAUGUGCUAUUUUACCUACGCUUAGGAUGUUGACGAGACUGUCGAUCUC